rnacentral:rRNA from 1 species
UACGGGGGGUGCAAACGUUGCUCGGAAUUAUUGGGUGUAAAGCGCACGUAGGCGGUCCCUUAAGUCGGGUGUGAAAGCCCUCGGCUUAACCGAGGAAGUGCAUUCGAAACUGGGGGACUUGAGUACUGGAGAGGAUGGCGGAAUUCCCGGUGUAGAGGUGAAAUUCGUAGAUAUCGGGAGGAACACCAGCGGCGAAGGCGGCCAUCUGGACAGAUACUGACGCUGAGGUGCGAAAGCGUGGGGAGCAAACAGG